rnacentral:lncRNA from 1 species
AAAUUGUAAAUCUAAAGCAACCAAGGAUGAUGAAAUUUCAUCACCUCGUGCAGGGAGACUAAUUCCGGGCUUAUCAACAUUUUACAUUCAAGUGCCGCCGGAAAAGUCCCUGAUAGACCCGUUCGACUAUAAAGAGUCGGGGAUCGGUCCACACAGAAUCAUUCGUCAGUGUCAUUCAGCUAGUCACAUUGUGCAGGUUCAGCUCCAGUGAAAUCAAUCAUUUCAAGAUGAUGCUAAGCUCAGCAGUUGUAUCUGUGGCCUUACUUUUUGCUCUGGGCGCAAUCGAGGAGACCUAUGGUCUUCACAUUCCUAAACUGAACCUGGCUCAUAUGAACAAACUUCACCAGCCGUUCAGUUUAGGAUCACAUUGGAAUCACUCACUGCACUACGGCGAGCACAAACCCAACGAAUAUGUGCUUUACAAGACAGUCAUCAGCUCGGACGACGGCGACUAUAAGGAGUUCCCAGAGGAAGGCAAGACCAACGACAAAACCAUCACUGCAAUAGAAAUCAUAGAUAAACUAGCCAACGGUAAAGCCGGUUUUGUCUACCACUACGACGGUGUCGGCAGUAAGAAGGCCACUUUCGCCUACAUCAACAACAAUGAUAGCCCCUACGAAUUCUUGAUUGAGAUCUUAGCACAACCGGAAGAAUCGGACUGUUAACAAAGCCAAACAUUGAGACGACCUGGAGGAUGGAUUGUGCAUCUGCGCAAAGCAAAGUUAUGACCCGUUUCGCUUUCGUUCUGAUCCGUUCGGAUCAUUAUUUUAGGAUCGUUUGUAACUUGUAAAAAAUAUAUUAUUCUAAAGGCACUUAAGCGUUUUCCAGUUUUUUCUAAGAAGCCGGGGGGACAAACCAGGGAUGCAGAAACUUCCAAGGGUUCCCCCCAAAAUAAAUUUAGGAUUUUAAGUUUUCGCAGAAUUUUGCCAGACACAUAAAGUAACGCGGUCGACAGUUGGGUUCCCUCCAAACAGCGCGCUUGAAUGUUUUGUUCCCCAAAAACAGCGCGCUUGACAAUUAGGUUCCCUCAAAGUAGCCCAGUCAGCAGUCAAGUUCCCCCGAAACUUUAAAAAAAGAAAGAAAGGAAAAAAAAUCAUUCCAAGGUUCCCUCAAUUUUUUCGUCCUCACAUGGGCUCGCCCCCCCCCCAUUUUUCUCGUCCUCACGUUGGUUCCCUCAUUUUUCUCGUCCUCACAUGGGUUCUCGCAUUUCACGCGAACCGCCGGUCGCGUGGUUGGGAAGUGUCUGCACCCCUGGGACAAGCAACCUCGCGGUAAAGAGCAUCCUGAUCUUUUCCUUCCUUGAUUGAAAAACUGUAGCGCCCAAGGGAGUAGAUUGUUUUCAACCGCGCGGUCGAGACCAAAUUGUGGAAAAGCC